rnacentral:miRNA from 3 species
UUGCAUAGGUACAUUGGUCAGU